AACGAACGCUGGCGGCAUGCCUAACACAUGCAAGUCGAACGAAAACUUCGGGUCUAGUGGCGCACGUGUGCGUACCACGUGGGAACCUGCCCUUAGGUUCCGUAUCACUCCCCGAAAGGGAUGCUCAUAACGGAUGGUGUCUUCGGACCAAAGAUUUCUCGCCUUGGGAUGGGCCCGCGUUGGAUUAGCUAGUUGGUAGGGUACAAGCCUACCAAGGCGACGAUCCAUGGGUGGUCUGAGAGGAGGAUCAGCCGCACUGGGACUGGGACACGGCCCAUACGCGUGCGGGAGGCAGCAGUGGGGAAAAUUGGACAAGGGGCGAAAGCCAGAUCCGGCGAGGCCGCGUGAGUGAUGUAGGGGUUAGGGUCGUAAAGCUCUUUUACCCGGGAUGAUAAUGACAGUACCGGUAGAAUAGGCCCGGGUUACUUCCUG
rnacentral:rRNA from 1 species